AUCCAAGAUGGCCGCCAGCAUGGGACUUAGUUUAACAUAGGACCCUAUGGGAAAUGCAUACAAAUGACUUCUUCUAGAGAACCACUGAAUGGAAUAAAACCAAACAUUGCAUGAAUGUUCCUUAUGAGUGCUGACCAAGUGUUGUUACUUUGUAGCCGAUCCAUCAUCCAAGAUGGCCGCCAGCAGGGGACUUAGUUUAACAUAGGACCCUAUGGGAAAUGCAUACAAAUGACUUCUUUUAGAGAACCACUGAAUGGAAUAAAACCAAACAUGGCAU
rnacentral:lncRNA from 1 species